GACGAACGCUGGCGGCGUGCCUAAUACAUGCAAGUAGAACGCUGAAGGAGGAGCUUGCUUCUCUGGAUGAGUUGCGAACGGGUGAGUAACGCGUAGGUAACCUGCCUGGUAGCGGGGGAUAACUAUUGGAAACGAUAGCUAAUACCGCAUAAUAGUAGAUGUUGCAUGACAUUUGCUUAAAAGGUGCAAUUGCAUCACUACCAGAUGGACCUGCGUUGUAUUAGCUAGUUGGUGGGGUAACGGCUCACCAAGGCGACGAUACAUAGCCGACCUGAGAGGGUGAUCGGCCACACUGGGACUGAGACACGGCCCAGACUCCUACGGGAGGCAGCAGUAGGGAAUCGUCGGCAAUGGACGGAAGUCUGACCGAGCAACGCCGCGUGAGUGAAGAAGGGUGUCGGAUCGUAAAGCUCUGUUGUAAGAGAAGAACGAGUGUGAGAGUGGAAAGUUCACACUGUGACGGUAUCUUACCAGAAAGGGACGGCUAACUACGUG
rnacentral:rRNA from 1 species